AUACGUAGGGGGCGAGCGUUGUCCGGAAUGAUUGGGCGUAAAGGGCGCGUAGGCGGCCCGGUAAGUCUGGAGUGAAAGACCUGUUUUUAAGAUGGGAAUUGCUUUGGAUACUGUCGGGCUUGAGUGCAGGAGAGGUAAGUGGAAUUCCCAGUGUAGCGGUGAAAUUCGUAGAGAUUGGGAGGAACACCAGUGGCGAAGGCGACUUACUGGACUGUAACUGACGCUGAGGCGCGAAAGUGUGGGGAGCAAACAGGAUUAGAUACCCUGGUAGUCCACACUGUAAACGAUGAAUGCUAGGUGUAGGGGGUAUCGACCCCUUCUGUGCCGCAGUCAACACAAUAAGCAUUCCGCCUGGGGAGUACGGCCGCAAGGUUGAAACUCAAAUGAAUUGACGGGG
rnacentral:rRNA from 1 species